GAUGAACGCUGGCGGCGGGCCUAAUACAUGCAAGUCGAGCGAACAGACGAUAAGCUUGCUCCUCUGACGUUAGCGACUGACGGGUGAGUAACACGUGGAUAACCUACCUAUAUUACUUGGAUAACUUCGUAAAACAGGAUACAAUACCGCAUCAUAUAUUGAACCGCAUAGUUCAGUGGUUAAACACGCCUUUGCCGUCACUUAUAGAUGGUUCCGCGCCGGAUUAGCUAGUUGGUAAGGUAACGGCUUACCAAGGCAACGAUGCGUAGCCGACCUGAGAGGAUGAUCAGCCACACUGGAACUGAGACACGGUCCAGACUCCUGCGGGAGGCAGCAGUGGGGAAUAUUGCGCAAUGGGCGCAAGCCUGAUCGAGCAACGCCGCGUGAGUGAAGAAGGUCUUCGGAUUGUAAAGCUCUGUUAUUGGGAAAGAACAACUGUGUAUGAAAAUACGGACGUCUUGACGGUACCUAAUGAAAAAGCACCGGCUAACUACGUG
rnacentral:rRNA from 1 species